rnacentral:lncRNA from 1 species
GUCGCCGGCGACAACCCCCUCCUUCUCCACCUCAGAUCGUCACUCCAGCUCCAGGAGUAACGAAGGAGCUUGAACCUUUGACGUUUGGAAACUUUUUGCCAGAGAAAUGCCAAUCCAAAUUACCUUUGCAUGCAGAGAAAAUUACGAGUUCUGAGACUCAAUUGAAGGUGAUUGAUGCAGAUCGAGAUAGUCAAGCUGUGAGCAAGCUUCAAUUUUCAGACAUUGCAGUUGCUGAGCAACCACCUCCUACUAUGGCUGAGAUU